AGUCUAAAGGCCCUGUUUUGUGUAUGGAAGUGCUUUCAUUUCUUUGGCCAGGUUCAAGUUUCUGUAAUUUGUUGGGUCCAAUUGUGAACUCUGUUCUAUUUCAUUUAUUUGUGUGUAUUCAUAUAUGUAUUUAUUUUAUUAAUCAGGAGAAAGAAGUGUAAUUUAUAGUGUGGCUUGACAUUUAAAUCAGAAGUUUCAUCUAAACACACCUGCCCAAUAGAAGGGUGAAUGACCUGUGGAAACCUCUGGACCCAGGAGUCUGGGCUGCAACUUUGGGAUGACUUGGAGCCCAGUCCACCAGGAGGAAAAUGCUUCCCGUGCGGGGUCCUGACACCUGCAGAGGGGGCUUUGCCAUGAUUUCUUCUGGAUGUUUCUAUAAGGAGAUUGUUUCUGUAGAGAAAUCCCAAUUCAGCAUCAUAUUCACAGUCAUAAAAUUCAUAUCAAGAAAUGGGACCAGCCAGUCUUCCCUGCAACCUGAGGCAAAGAGAAAAAAAGUCACACCCUAAUAAGUCCCUUCACUCACCUGCAUUGUUACUUUUCCAACAUUAAAGUAAUUGAGAUCCACUGAAAAGUGGAAGUUUAAGUACAUUAAAAUUCAGAAUAUUAUUUUGAGUUCUAUUUUAUUGAUGCCAAACCAGAAUUUAGUACUCUUUAAUGUUCCUAGCUUUCGAAAAGCUAACUUAUCGAUAUGUUAAUAUCCCCUGUAGCUUGUCAUUUUUAAAUGGGAUUAUCAU